rnacentral:rRNA from 1 species
AUACGAAGGGGGCUAGCGUUGUCCGGAUUUACUGGGCGUAAAGCGCACGUAGGCGGAUUGAUUAGUUAGGGGUGAAAUCCCGAGGCUCAACCUCGGAACUGCCUCUAAAACUGUCAAUCUCGAGACCGGAAGAGGUGAGUGGAACUCCUAGUGUAGAGGUGGAAUUCGUAGAUAAUAGGAAGAACACCAGUGGCGAAGGCGGCUCACUGGUCCGGUACUGACGCUGAGGUGCGAAAGCGUGGGGAGCGAACAGGAUUAGAAACCCUAGUAGUCC